rnacentral:rRNA from 1 species
UACGUAGGGUGCAAGCGUUAAUCGGAAUUACUGGGCGUAAAGCGUGCGCAGGCGGUUGUGCAAGACCGAUGUGAAAUCCCCGGGCUCAACCUGGGAAUGGCAUUGGUGACUGCACGGCUAGAGUGUGUCAGAGGGGGGUAGAAUUCCACGUGUAGCAGUGAAAUGCGUAGAGAUGUGGAGGAAUACCGAGUGGCGAAGGCAGCCCCCUGGGAUAACACUGAC